GACGAACGCUGGCGGCGUGCCUAAUACAUGCAAGUUGAGCGAUGAAGAUUGGUGCUUGCACCAAUUUGAAGAGCAGCGAACGGGUGAGUAACGCGUGGGGAAUCUGCCUUUGAGCGGGGGACAACAUUUGGAAACGAAUGCUAAUACCGCAUAAUAACUUUAAACAUAAGUUUUAAGUUUGAAAGAUGCAAUUGCAUCACUCAAAGAUGAUCCCGCGUUGUAUUAGCUAGUUGGUGAGGUAAAGGCUCACCAAGGCGAUGAUACAUAGCCGACCUGAGAGGGUGAUCGGCCACAUUGGGACUGAGACACGGCCCAAACUCCUACGGGAGGCAGCAGUAGGGAAUCUUCGGCAAGGGACGAAAGUCUGACCGAGCAACGCCGCGUGAGUGAAGAAGGUUUUCGGAUCGUAAAACUCUGUUGGUAGAGAAGAACGUUGGGGAGAGUGGAAAGCUCAUCAAGUGACGGUAACUACCCAGAAAGGGACGGCUAACUACGUG
rnacentral:rRNA from 1 species